UACGAAGGGUGCAAGCGUUACUCGGAAUUACUGGGCGUAAAGGGUGCGUAGGUGGUUUGUUAAGUCUGCUGUGAAAUCCCCGGGCUCAACCUGGGAAUGGCAGUGGAUACUGGCAAGCUAGAGUGCGGUAGAGGGUAGUGGAAUUCCCGGUGUAGCAGUGAAAUGCGUAGAGAUCGGGAGGAACACCAGUGGCGAAGGCAGCUCGCUGGGACGGUACUGACGCUGAGACGCGAAAGCGUGGGGAGCAAACAGG
rnacentral:rRNA from 1 species